UACUACGGGAGGCAGCAGUAGGGAAUCUUCCGCAAUGGACGAAAGUCUGACGGAGCAACGCCGCGUGAGCGAUGAAGGCCUUCGGGUCGUAAAGCUCUGUUGUCAGGGAAGAACAAGUAUCGGAGUAACUGCCGGUACCUUGACGGUACCUGACCAGAAAGCCACGGCUAACUACGUGCCAGCAGCCGCGGUAAUACGUAGGUGGCAAGCGUUGUCCGGAAUUAUUGGGCGUAAAGCGCGCGCAGGCGGUUCCUUAAGUCUGAUGUGAAAGCCCCCGGCUCAACCGGGGAGGGUCAUUGGAAACUGGGGAACUUGAGUGCAAAAGAGGAGAGCGGAAUUCCACGUGUAGCGGUGAAAUGCGUAGAGAUGUGGAGGAACACCAGUGGCGAAGGCGGCUCUCUGGUCUGUAACUGACGCUGAGGCGCGAAAGCGUGGGGAGCCAACAGGAUUAGAUACCCUGGUAGUCCACGCCCUAAACAAUGAGUGCUAAGUGUUAGAGGGUUUCCCCCCUUUAGUGCUGCAGC
rnacentral:rRNA from 1 species